rnacentral:tRNA from 1 species
GCCUUCGUAGUGUAGUGGUCAGCACGCUCGACGCGUACUCGCGAGGUCCGUGGUUCGAGUCCCGGCGAAGACA